rnacentral:lncRNA from 10 species
CACCUGGAAUUCCACACUAGACUCCUAAUUUACUGUGUUCACUUUUGCCCUUCUAGAUCUACUCCAGUCUUGGUGACUUUUACUUUUUUAAAAAUAAAAUGAAAAACAACAUAAAAAAGGAAUAAUAGCUAAAUUAUAAUCUUACAGUGGAUGAUUUUUGAGAAGUACAUCUGUUCUCACACUAUCAUGUAAGGAACGAAUUCAAGGAACUAAAUUUUGGCAAAUACCCUCAGAAUCUUAGUCAUAGCAUCAUCCAAAUUUCCAUCUUGCUAGCCCAUGUGCUCUAUCGCUUGCUUACUCUCUCUCUAUGUGUCUCUCUCUUUCUCAUUAGCUCACACACUCUCUCACUCUCUCUCUCUCCUCCCCUUUCUUUUUUAUCUCCCUCUCUCUCUCAUGGCUUGCUCAUACUGAUGAAGGAAGUUAUCAUGGCAGAAAUCUCACAUGGCAAACAAUUGAGGAUGACCUUUAGUCGACAGCCAUAAAGGAACAGAGGACUUUAGUCUAACAAGUUAAUGAUAAAAUGAAUCCUGCCAAUGACCAUGAGACUGAGUUUGAGGAGUGGAUUCUUCCCCAGAAAAGCCUUGAGAUGUCUAAAGCCCAGGAGGCACUUUGAUUGCAGCCUGUGAGAAACCACCAAGAAGACACAGCUAAACCUUACCUAAAAGAUUCUUGUGAACUUUAGAAAAUAUGAGACAAUCAGUGCUGUUUCAAGUCACUACUUUGGGAGCAUAUUUCUUAUGCAAUAGCAGAUACUAACACAGAAAUGUUACCUGACUUGGAACAUCACAGAUUGUUAUUGUCUGCUUUUUGUCUUUAUAUAAACUGAAAUAUAUACCA